AGAGAGUGAUGCAGCCAAGGAUGACUUGCCGGAGUCAAUUACUAGGUCACCGGAAUUUUCUUUCCGGCAAGUUGUCUUUGGCUAUGUUGAACUUUCU
rfam:Cajanus cajan CcLG11_1623, whole genome shotgun sequence.